rnacentral:rRNA from 1 species
UACAGAGGGUGCAAGCGUUAAUCGGAAUUACUGGGCGUAAAGCGCACGUAGGCGGUUUUUUAAGUCAGAUGUGAAAGCCCCGGGCUCAACCUGGGAAUUGCAUUUGAAACUGGGAAACUAGAGUGUGUGAGAGGGGGGUAGAAUUCCAAGUGUAGCGGUGAAAUGCGUAGAGAUUUGGAGGAAUACCAGUGGCGAAGGCGGCCCCCUGGCACAACACUGACGCUCAGGUGCGAAAGCGUGGGGAGCAAACGGG